UGCGGCUUAAUUUGACUCAACACGGGAAACCUCACCCGGCCCGGACACGGACAGGAUUGACAGAUUGAUAGCUCUUUCUCGAUUCCGUGGGUGGUGGUGCAUGGCCGUUCUUAGUUGGUGGAGCGAUUUGUCUGGUUAAUUCCGAUAACGAACGAGACUCUGGCAUGCUAACUAGUUACGCGACCCCCGAGCGGUCGGCGUCCCCCAACUUCUUAGAGGGACAAGUGGCGUUCAGCCACCCGAGAUUGAGCAAUAACAGGUCUGUGAUGCCCUUAGAUGUCCGGGGCUGCACGCGCGCUACACUGACUGGCUCAGCGUGUGCCUACCCUACGCCGGCAGGCGCGGGUAACCCGUUGAACCCCAUUCGUGAUGGGGAUCGGGGAUUGCAAUUAUUCCCCAUGAACGAGGAAUUCCCAGUAAGUGCGGGUCAUAAGCUUGCGUUGAUUAAGUCCCUGCCCUUUGUACACACCGCCCGUCGCUACUACCGAU
rnacentral:rRNA from 1 species